AACGAACGCUGGCGGCGUGCCUAACACAUGCAAGUCGUGCGAGAAAGUUCCUUCGGGAGCGAGUAAAGCGGCGCACGGGUGAGUAACACGUAGGUAACCUGCCCCCCAGUCUGGAACAACUAGAGGAAACUCUAGCUAAUGCCGGAUGAGACCACGAUCCCUUCGGGGGGUUGCGGGCCCAAAAGGAUGGGCCUCUACUUGUAAGCUAUCGCUGAGGGAUGGGCCUGCGGGCCAUUAGCUUGUUGGUGAGGUAACGGCUCACCAAGGCUGUGAUGGCUAGCUGGUCUGAGAGGAUGACCAGCCACACUGGGACUGAGACACGGCCCAGACUCCUACGGGAGGCAGCAGUGGGGAAUAUUGCGCAAUGGGCGAAAGACCUGACGCAGCGACGCCGCGUGGGUGA
rnacentral:rRNA from 1 species